CCGCACUACAAAACCAGCGAACCGACCAUGUACACACCUCCGAUAUGGACUGCAGCAACCACGAGAAAAAACUCCAACGAUCCAACUUUCUCCACCCAUUGCACUUUCUCUCACCCCCGAGCGGGCGCACGACCCCCACCUCCUCCUUCCCCACAUGUGCAUCCCCGCCGCCGGCGUGCCCCAUCCCGCGCCCUUCUUCGCCGUUGGUGCGCCCCAUCCCGCCGCCUUCUUCACCACCACCGUGCCCCUUCCUGCGGCCUUCCCCACCACCUCCCGCCACGCUCCACCCUUCCUCGGCCCACCACCUCCUUUCCCCGAUCCACACCUUCCAGACCCCGACGCCUCCAGCAACGGCGCAUGUGGGCCUCCCGCCCACUACCGCCUCCCUCCUCUCUAGUGGUCGGCUUCCCAAGCGACAACGCGCGUCCCAUCUCCCCAAUCCCCAGAUCCACUAGGGGGAUCCCACGCUCACCGCGCCCACAGGGUCCCGCGCUACGACCGGCGAACUUUCUGGAUCCGGCCUUCCUGAUGGCCGUGGAGUAUGAAGACCACCGGAUCCCCCCUCCCCCGCGACGAUAGGCUCUCCUCCAGCUCGCCUACCAAGACCACGACGCGGGGAGGUACCCCCACUGCCUCUCUUUAGCGACGGGGGUCGUCGGCCACUCUCCCCUCCCCGUUCCACCACCUCCCUCCUGACUGUGGCACGACUGGUUGCUGUGCUCCAGUCGGCUCCUCCGGCGAGCUUGCAGACGACGUGACGAGGAGAUCCAACAGUCUCCGGCCUGCGGGUGGCGGCUGCCUCUGUCCUCCUCUCCCCCUAUGCCCCAGCAGCAACAGGAAGAUGGCGUUGUGGUGCAGUGUGCCUCUGUUUGCAGUUUUGUUGGUGUGGACAUGCGUUUUUGGCGUGGCUCAUUUUCUUUCCUACCUUCGUGACCCAUGUGCCAUUCGCGAGGUGAAGCCGCCUCCCAUUUUGCAGGGGUGUGUGCGUCGAGUACGGCAGCUGCAAUGUGCAGUCCGGCGGGGUAGCGUGUGCAAUGCUCACCCGAUGCGAUUUAGUUUUUUCUGUGCACUCACUAAGAAAGAGAAGAGAACAUCGAUGUUCAUUUGAAGUUUGAUUUGUUGUUUAUGGGAAACACAUAGAGAAAAGGGGAGUGAGAAUGGAUGGUCAUUUUGAAUAAGCAAGUCUUUCCCUAGUGCAGUUCUAUUGGGUACUGCAUCGUUGAUUCUGCUAUGUACUAGAUGGCUGUGUGGAUGUGUAAAAAAUAAUGAAUGGAUACGUAUGUUUUUAAGCUCA